UUACAUGUACCUGUCAUAUCUCCUCAGUGUCCUUUCGGGUGGGACAGUUUCUCAGACAUUUUUGAUGAGCAUAACAGUUUUGAGGAGCUCUGGUCGAGUAUUUUGUAGGAUGCUUCUUCACUGGCGUUUGUCUAAUGUCUUCUUCAUAAUCAAGCUGGGAUUAUGGAUUAGGGGGAAGAAAGACCACAGAGUAAAGGAGGGCAGGUGGCUGAAUUUGGAGUGUCACAAUAAUGGACAGUGAUGUGUCAAGGCAAAGCUUUUUAUAAGAAGUUAGGUGGCC
rnacentral:lncRNA from 1 species